CAAUAAUACACUUAAAAUAAAAUAAAAAAAAAACUUGUCAAAAGCAAAGCAUGCUCUAUCUAUCAUAUCUUGAGAAUGAUGUCCUUGUUUAAAAUACAUGUCUCUAAAGUUACAUAUGCCCAUCUCAUGCAAAGAUGGGGACAAAAUGAAACAAAUGAUUAUUUUUCAAGAGGAGAGUUUGAGUGUGGGUUAAGCAACCAUGUCAAGUUUGGGCU
rnacentral:misc_RNA from 1 species